ensembl:lncRNA
CAGUAAUUAGGUGCUAUAUUAGUUAUUUGCCACUUGUAUUGGACUUUCUUUCUUUGUCAUUCUUUCAAUAAAUUUGAUAUUUUAUUUAAUAUUUUAUGUCUCCCCACCAACAAGUAUGCUCUAUAUAAUGGUGAAUUUUACAUGGGCAAUCACCAGUAAUUUUCUUAAGGAUAUGUGUAAUUAUUUUAUGUGCAUUGUUUACCUUCAGUGGUGGGGAAUCCACUCUGAUUUCUGCUUUUAUUAGAGGCCAUUUCUCGUCUGCUCCCACAUGAAAAAGCCCAGUGAGUGGCAGAGCGUUGAAUACCACCUCUCUUAUACUGACUCAUCUGUUCCUCUCUCUCUUCACACUCUUGAGGAUGAAAGAAAAAUAUUGAGGAUGUGAGCAGUCCCUUCACCUUUAAGAGUUAUCUUCAAAAUGGAGCUUGUUCUUUGUCCUAAGUUUCAGUCUGAGCGCGAGAGGUCCUGCUGCACUCAACUGCCGGCAUUUACACUCCGUCCUCUCUCACGGCACACCUUCCUGUGGAGAUUGGCUCACUUCGAUUCCUCUAAGAUGAAUGUCUCUUUGAACCUCUUGUGGCAUUUGAGUGAACUGCAGUUACCGGUUCCAGCUCUGUGGUGAUUCAUCGAAUGGGAACUUCAGAGGAAUUUGCUGCAUCACAGACCAAAUCUGUUCAGGUUUUCAUGUGUACACAACAUUCCUUUGAUGUGACCAACAAGAGUAUAUGAAUGAUGUCUCUUGAGAGAGAUCUGUUUACUGGUUCUCAAUUACUUUUGGUCUUUCUGUUUAUCCAUCAUCUUAGGCUCACUUUCACAGUCUCUCCACCACUGUUGUUUCAUACAGCGAUUUGUAUGAAUAAUUUAUGCCACAUUGCUUCGCCGUCAUUAAAGGUGACCUUGGUUAAUUAUUGAUCAGGUCAGAUGAUUACAGUCCUGACCUCUAGGUUCUCGUCUACCGCUCGGCUCAGUUUUCAUGUUACGCUCUACGGGGGGGGGGGGGGGGGGGGGGGUGUGUAAAAUUACAGAUAAUCCCAACGCCAAGACUAUUACUUUGUUUUAAUGAAAUAUGUAAGAGGUAAUGUAUAGUCAGUUAGUCAUCACUGAAUAAACCUUGACAGGGUGAUCAGGUUGAGCCCCUGAAGGGGUUUAUUUGUUUUUUGUUACAUUGAUCGUCUGACUAUUACCCUGAUACUUGUCAAAUAAAUACAUAAAUGGACAUGAAAUAUUGUUUUUUGUUAUGUUUUUAUCUGAGAAGAGAGCAUGUGAUUGACGGAGUAUAACAAGGAAAUAAUAAUACAGUUUAGCAGCUAUUAUUUAAAAAAAAAAUGCUGUUUUCAACAUUAAUCAAUUAUUUCUGAAGGAUCAUGUGACGCUUAAUAUUGGAGUAAUGCCUGCAGAAAAUUCAACACUGCCAUCACAAAGGAAUAAAUUCCAUUUUACAAUAUAUUAAAAAUUAACAAUUAUUUGUUAUAAUGUGAGAAGAAAGAGACCACGGAUUGAUUGAAAAGACAUUAGAAUCGAGCAGAAAAUCUGAUUAGUUGGUGGGUACAUCAGAAUGGGCUCUAUAUCUGACAUGCAGACUGAUGACCUGCUAAAUGUUGGUCCACUGAAUGAAAAGGAUGGGAGGAACGUCAUCUUGACCUUUCGAAGGCACUCCCUCAUCGCUAUGGCCCUUUGGCCCGAAUGCUUUAAUAAGCCCUCAUGAAAUUAAUCCUUAAUGUGUGCCAGUGUGCUGACUCAACAGCCGUCGCGCGGGUCAAUCUUGAACAAUCUUGGAGUAAUCAUGAUUAUUCUGACCCUGGCUGCCCCAAACUGAGGUUGAGUCGGGUCAGGAAUGAAGCACCUGUCACUUGUAUAUAAUUUGCAAGAGAAUGAUGAAUGUGGCUGUAAAGGCUAAAUCACUACAGAAUUAGCUCCAAUGAUGAGCAUGUAAUGACCUCAUGAUUUACAAUAGCUGUUUGCCUAGUGUUGUGUUACAUUAGCGUGCUUGUUUGGACUUCAGCAGCCUGUAAAGUUCACAUGGUCACACCGUAGCACCUCAACCCCUGUUAAAGCACUUGUCACUGAAGUUAUAGCCGCAGAGGGAUGCUUUUACAUCUCUCUCUGUUCACAGACCUGUAGUGGAGUGGAGACAGUGAGAAUGUGCUGACAGUCUGAGGCACACUGACUCUCUGGGGUGACCAGACGGCUCGUGCUGACUCAGCACCAAUCACUGUCCUCCUCCCCUCGCUCAGUGAUGUCUGACGGCAUUCA